rnacentral:rRNA from 1 species
UACAGAGGGUGCAAGCGUUAAUCGGAAUUACUGGGCGUAAAGCGCGCGUAGGAGGUUAGUUAAGUUGGAUGUGAAAUCCCCGGGCUCAACCUGGGAACUGCAUUCAAAACUGACUGACUAGAGUAUGGUAGAGGGUGGUGGAAUUUCCUGUGUAGCGGUGAAAUGCGUAGAUAUAGGAAGGAACACCAGUGGCGAAGGCGACCACCUGGACUGAUACUGACACUGAGGUGCGAAAGCGUGGGGGGAGCAAACAGGAUUAGAUACCCUGGUAGUCCACGCCGUAAACGAUGUCAACUAGCCGUUGGGAGCCUUGAGCUCUUAGUGGCGCAGCUAUCGCAUUAAUUGACCGCCUGGGGAGUACGGCCGCAAGGUUAAAACUCA